rnacentral:miRNA from 1 species
UUGGAUUAGCCAGAAAGUUCAUUCAGGUUUUUCCAUAAGCUCUCAUGGAAAAACCUGAAUGAACUUUUUGGCCAAGUCA